AUAUCAUUUAACAGGGAAGUUUACAAGCCUAAAUGCGUGCUGGCCAGGAAGUUGCCAUGACAGCCACGUCUUCAGAAUGUCAAGUAUUGGCAGACACUUGCAAAGUCACAACCAAGACCCACAAAAUGGAUACCUUUUAGGAGACAGUGGAUACCCGUGCCGACCAUUUCUUAUCACACCCUUUUUACAGCCAAGAAACGAGAAUGAAGAGCGAUUUAACAA